rnacentral:rRNA from 1 species
UACGUAGGGUGCGAGCGUUAAUCGGAAUUACUGGGCGUAAAGCGUGCGCAGGCGGUUUUGUAAGCCAGACGUGAAAUCCCCGGGCUUAACCUGGGAAUGGCAUUUGGGACUGCAAGGCUUGAGUGCGGCAGAGGAGACUGGAAUUCCUGGUGUAGCAGUGAAAUGCGUAGAUAUCAGGAGGAAUACCGAUGGCGAAGGCAGGUCUCUGGGCAGUAACUGACGCUGAGGAGCGAAAGCGUGGGGAGCGAACAGG